AUCGGCGGUGACUAUUGGCCCAGAGAUGCAGGUGAAUGGACACAACUCGCCGUACAAGAUUAUUUUCACCUCUACAGAGCCUACAGACCGGGAGACCCAGAUGCAGACUGCAUGUUCCAACAUCGUUCUCCAGCUCUCCAGGUAU